UAGGGAAUCUUCCGCAAUGGGCGAAAGCCUGACGGAGCAACGCCGCGUGAGUGAUGAAGGUCUUCGGAUCGUAAAACUCUGUUAUUAGGGAAGAACAAAUGUGUAAGUAACUAUGCACGUCUUGACGGUACCUAAUCAGAAAGCCACGGCUAACUACGUGCCAGCAGCCGCGGUAAUACGUAGGUGGCAAGCGUUAUCCGGAAUUAUUGGGCGUAAAGCGCGCGUAGGCGGUUUUUUAAGUCUGAUGUGAAAGCCCACGGCUCAACCGUGGAGGGUCAUUGGAAGCUGGAAAACUUGAGUGCAGGAGAGGAAAGUGGAAUUCCAUGUGUAGCGGUGAAAUGCGGAGAGAUAUGGAGGAACACCAGUGGCGAAGGCGACUUUCUGGUCUGUAACUGACGCUGAUGUGCGAAAGCGUGGGGAUCAAACAGG
rnacentral:rRNA from 1 species